rnacentral:lncRNA from 1 species
UCAAAUAUAGUUUUCAUUGUAUAACACUUAAUUAUUACAAAAUUUUAAAAAUAAUUCUCACGACAUAGUACUUAAUUUUUAUCCGAUUGAUAACUGCUCUGAUAUCAUUUAUAAAAAUUCACACUUAACAUACGAAAUAUUAUCUAUUUUUAUUCGAAAAGAAAGCUAGAAGACAGAAAGUUGCUUCAUGAGCCACUCUCCUCUAUACGAUAUCUCUUUAGUAGCAAGAAGAGGGACUACUGGGCUAGGCCGGCAGUUCAACCGCUCGCCCUAAGGCUUCAUUGACGAGGAAUGAAAGCAAAAGGAGGGGCAGCCCCAGCACUCGAAGGAAAAGCAGAACACAAGGCAAAUGGAGAUCUUGAAAGACAAAGGAGAUAAGAGGGAUUGUCCCCAGCCUUUACUUCUUUAUCUACGUACGCUAUUUUACGAUAGGGAUGGGGAAUAGAAAGGGUUCACAAUUUUAACUCACAAAAAGUAUUUUAUAAAUAUUUUUAUUUAAAUCACUAUUUAUAUAUCAUAAUAGAUUUAUAAAAUAUUUUAAUAUAAGAUUGAAAAUUUACACAAAUUAAUAAUAGAAUCAAGAAAAAUAUUAAGCCAGUUAUAUAUAUUUUCCAAUUUUCA